CAAACGGAUUUAAUUAAAUCCAUCUAAUAUUGCCAAGAAAUAUCUC
rfam:Corchorus capsularis cultivar CVL-1 contig06958, whole genome shotgun sequence.